UCGGGAAUUUUGCUCAAUGGGGGAAACCCUGAAGCAGCAACGCCGCGUGAGGGAUGAAGGCCUUCGGGUUGUAAACCUCUUUUGUCAGGGACGAUGAUGACGGUACCUGGCGAAUAAGCCACGGCUAACUACGUGCCAGCAGCCGCGGUAAUACGUAGGUGGCAAGCGUUGUCCGGAUUUACUGGGCGUAAAGAGCGCGCAGGCGGUCUUGUAAGUCGAAUGUGAAAGCCCCUGGCUCAACCAGGGAGGGUCAUUCGAUACUGCUUGACUCGAAGGCAGGAGAGGGAAGUGGAAUUCCGGGUGUAGUGGUGAAAUGCGUAGAUAUCCGGAGGAACACCAGUGGCGAAGGCGACUUUCUGGCCUGUUCUUGACGCUGAGGCGCGAAAGCUAGGGGAGCAAA
rnacentral:rRNA from 1 species